rnacentral:rRNA from 1 species
UGCAAGUCGAACGGUAAGGCCCUUCGGGGUACACGAGUGGCGAACGGGUGAGUAACACGUGGGUGAUCUGCCCUGCACUUCGGGAUAAGCCUGGGAAACUGGGUCUAAUACCGGAUAGGACUACAGGCUUCAUGGUUUGUGGUGGAAAGCUUUUGCGGUGUGGGAUGGGCCCGCGGCCUAUCAGCUUGUUGGUGGGGUUAUGGCCUACCAAGGCGACGACGGGUAGCCGGCCUGAGAGGGUGUCCGACCACACUGGGACUGAGAUACGGCCCAGACUCCUACGGGAGGCAGCAGUGGGGAAUAUUGCACAAUGGGCGCAAGCCUGAUGCAGCGACGCCGCGUGGGGGAUGACGGCCUUCGGGUUGUAAACCUCUUUCAGCUAUGACGAAGCGCAAGUGACGGUAGUAGCAGAAGAAGCACCGGCCAACUACGUGCCAGCAGCCGCGGUAAUACGUAGGGUGCGAGCGUUGUCCGGAAUUACUGGGCGUAAAGAGCUCGUAGGUGGUUUGUCGCGUUGUCCGUGAAAUCUUACAGCUUAACUGUGAGCGUGCGGGCGAUACGGGCAGACUGGAGUACUGCAGGGGAGACUGGAAUUCCUGGUGUAGCGGUGGAAUGCGCAGAUAUCAGGAGGAACACCGGUGGCGAAGGCGGGUCUCUGGGCAGUAACUGACGCUGAGGAGCGAAAGCGUGGGGAGCGAACAGGAUUAGAUACCCUGGUAGUCCACGCCGUAAACGGUGGGUACUAGGUGUGGGUUUCCUUCCUUGGGAUCCGUGCCGUAGCUAACGCAUUAAGUACCCCGCCUGGGGAGUACGGCCGCAAGGCUAAAACUCAAAGAAAUUGA